AGCAUCCAGAUCCUUCUGUAAGGACAAGCUGUCUUCUGGUGUUUUAAUCUCUCUAUAAAGUAUGGCAUCAUCUGCGAAGAGUCGAACACUGGACAAAACUGCAUUUGGAAUGUCAUUGAUAUACAGUAGGAAGAGCAAUGGACCCAUGAAAGUCCCCUGUGAUACUCCAAAUUAAAACU